rnacentral:snRNA from 1 species
AUCUCUUUGCCUUUUGGCUUAGAUCAAGUGUAGUAUCUGUUCUUUUCAGUGUAACAACUGAAAUGUUCUCAUUGAGAACUUUUAAAUGUUACCUUUAUUUUUGGAAUAUGGUGAAGGAAUUGUAUUAUGGGCUUGCUCAUAAAUUCCUACACAUUGGGGUCGUUGCUCUUGCACUGCAAGCUUCUGACCCAAACCCCCU